UGAGGAGGAUAGUCGCUGGUUUUUUUUAGUAUUUAUUGCUAUCAUGAAAACGAGAGGAAAGUCUGGGCUCCAUGAGAGAAUAGUAACGGUGAAAAACCGCCAUCCGUAAGGAUAGGGCUAGUGCCAAAGAGAAAAUAAACCGCCUGUAUAGGUAAGGGUGAAAAGAUAUGGUAAGAUCAUAUCAUGGUUAUAGAAAUAUAAUUCAUAGGCAAACCCUACUAGGUGAAAUACCAAAAGUUGCCAAUUGCUUUUAGCAAAACGACUCUCACGUAGGCAAAGGUAGGUAGAUUGAAAUUAUAAGUAAUUAUAAUUCUAGAUUAAUGAUUAUCACAACAGAACUCAGUGUACGUCCUCAC
rnacentral:RNase_P_RNA from 1 species